rnacentral:rRNA from 1 species
UACGAAGGGGGCUAGCGUUGCUCGGAAUCACUGGGCGUAAAGCGCACGUAGGCGGAUUGUUAAGUCGGGGGUGAAAUCCUGGAGCUCAACUCCAGAACUGCCUUCGAUACUGGCGAUCUUGAGUCCGGGAGAGGUGAGUGGAACUCCGAGUGUAGAGGUGAAAUUCGUAGAUAUUCGGAAGAACACCAGUGGCGAAGGCGGCUCACUGGCCCGGUACUGACGCUGAGGUGCGAAAGCGUGGGGAGCAAACA